CUAGACAAUACUGAUGUGUCAUGCGCUUAAGAUUCAGCUCUGAGAGUCGAUGCUCGAAAGAGCCGGUGUUCGAGUCUAAGCAUGGCAUGCCCGUUUGAUGACGAACCUGUGGACGUGGAGACGUUUUCCACUCGGUGAGAGUUGGAAAACCAGCAGGGACACCGGCCCUUGAGGACCAGGAGUACCCACCCCUGCACUAGAGAGACAUGGACAUAACGUGAACCUUGGCUGUGCAAAGCUAAACUACUUUCAACUUCCCACAGGUGAUCCCUCGCACGCUGCCUGUAAACAAGUAAAUAACAAAAUCACACAGUUUUCCUUUAACAUCCAUAUUCACUGUAUCACAAGAGAUUCUUCACAGACUUCACAACAACCACAGCUCAUGCACGUUCAGAUUCCAACAUCAGUGUAUAUCAACGAUGCAGCUAAGGGCAGCCCUCCACCCACACCCUGUAGCCGUGUUGGUCAGUGCAGCCCCACACUAUCAGGUGGGUUAGACUUCUCAGUAUAGCUAGAGUUGGAAGAACUGGCGUCUCCAUAGACUCCUUCUUUGUCCAUCACUGUUGUACUGGAAGCUGCGGCACUGCACCCUCUGUGUUGUCCUGGAAACCUCAUCCGAUGCCCAGCCUUUCUGCUUGAACCCAGUUGGCCCAGUUUGCUCAUGGCCUUCGCACCGAACACAUAAUCUCUUGCUUCCAGGCCAUUCGGAGAUCCAACAUACUUCCGCUGUGUCACCGUCUGCUUUCAUUGGCCUCUACUUUCAACUUCCCACAGGUGAUCCCUCGCACGCUGCCUGUAAACAGGUCAGCUACUGGGUGACCUGGCUUCUUUGUCUUUAAAGGUUUCAUUAAUUCUACAGCCAUCAGCCUGGCAUCUGGAAGAGACUUUAUUAUAGUGAUCUGAUUAGAUUCAUUAUCACAAUAUUGAGUCAUCUCUUUGCCCAUAAUUUUUGCACAGUUUAUAAAUAAUUGUUGCAAUGCAUUUUCUCGUUCUGUUUAAGGUUCCGUUUUGCAGAUUUGUCCUUGUAGGUUUUUAUUAAACCCUUCAUCUCUGCACACUGCCUCAAAUUAAAUGUCCCCUUUAACGGCCAGGGCGACGUGGAUUCAUGUUUCUGUUUCCUCCAUUUGUGUGAGCAUUUCUCAAUCUCCUCCUUCAACACUUUGACUGACUCAUCCACUGACCUCAUUGUUUAGUAUGUACUUUUACUCCACAGAUGACUCUAUACUGUAUAUAUGUAUACUUAAAAAUAUCCUCACUGACAUCUUGGUUUGGCCUCUGUUUUAAACAACUGGCCUAAUAAUCAUUCCUAGUGACUGUGAUGACCCACAGGAAAUCAUGAACAUUGGUUUUGCUCACAAAAAUGCAGAUGCAGGUGACUCCCUAACUCCCUACGCGUAGCUGCAUAAGACUAGUUUACUGUAUGUUUAUUAACUUUACCUAAUCAACCUAAAGUCUGACAAAAAGUGAAAACUGAAAAUGGAAAAAUGGAAACUAGAUUCCACCAGGCCAGAUACAUUAUACCCAUGCAAU